rnacentral:rRNA from 1 species
UGGGGAAUUUUGGACAAUGGGCGAAAGCCUGAUCCAGCAAUGCCGCGUGAGUGAAGAAGGCCCUCAGGGUUGUAAACGGCUUUUAUUCGGGAAGAAGAGCAGGGUUGCGUCCUUGUGUGACGGUACCCAAAGAAUAAGCACCGGCUAACUUCGUGCCAGCAGCCGCGGUAAUACGAAGGGUGCAAGCGUUACUCGGAAUUACUGGGCGUAAAGCGUGCGUAGGUGGUGGUUUAAGUCUGCUGUGAAAGCCCUGGGCUCAACCUGGGAAUUGCAGUGGAUACUGGAUCACUAGAGUGUGGUAGAGGGAUGCGGAAUUUCUGGUGUAGCAGUGAAAUGCGUAGAGAUCAGAAGGAACAUCCGUGGCGAAGGCGGCAUCCUGGGCCAACACUGACACUGAGGCACGAAAGCGUGGGGAGCAAACA